CAACUCUUUUAGCUAUGUUACAUGUAAAUACCACAGAAGAAGAUAAUGCUACAUGCUAAUAAUAUAGCACUAGUGACUUUAAAGCUAAGGAUAUAACAGCUUCCAUCUGGAAUGCCAGCCUGCUCCCACACGCCACCAAAUGUGUCCUGUUUGAUGUUUAAUGGAAUUUUCUCGUGCUUCUCCUCCAUUUGGAACUCGGGCGACUCGGGCGUGUGUCAAUGGGAUGACUUCUGUUUUGUUUGAUCAUCCGUUUUACUGCCGUGUACAAACAUUGUUUGAAAACAAUGAAGUGGGAUGACUUCUGUUUUGUUUGAUCAGCC